UGAGGAAUAUUGGUCAAUGGGCGUAAGCCUGAACCAGCCAAGUAGCGUGCAGGAUGACGGCCCUAUGGGUUGUAAACUGCUUUUGAAGGGGAGUAAAGUGAGUGACUUGUCAUUCAUUGCAAGUACCCUUGGAAUAAGGACCGGCUAAUUCCGUGCCAGCAGCCGCGGUAAUACGGAAGGUCCGGGCGUUAUCCGGAUUUAUUGGGUUUAAAGGGAGCGUAGGCGGAAGUUCAAGUCAGUUGUGAAAGUCUGUGGCUUAACCAUAGAAUUGCAGUUGAAACUGAAUUUCUUGAGUGUAGAUAAGGAUGGUGGAAUUUGUGGUGUAGCGGUGAAAUGCAUAGAUAUCACGAAGAACUCCAAUUGCGAAGGCAGCCAUCCGGGCUACAACUGACGCUGAGGCUCGAAAGUGCGGGAAUCAAACAGGAUUAGAUACCCUGGUAGUCCGCACCGUAAACGAUGGAUACUCGUGGUUGGCGAUAAACAGUCAGUCACCAAGCGAAAGCGUUAAGUAUCCCACCUGGGGAGUACGCCGGCAACGGUG
rnacentral:rRNA from 1 species